rnacentral:piRNA from 1 species
UGAAGUCUGAGUGACCCCAGGAUGGCUAAGA